UGUAUUUCUCAUAUUGUCAAUAAAUCGAUUUAACUUAUAAAAUAGUUUAAUAGUAAAUAGAGAUUUUUAAUGGAAUUAACCCAAGAACUCUCAUGCUAAAUAAGUUUUAAUCUAAAAGAACUCACUGUUUCUAAGAGUUGUCCUUUGAAAUUUGCACUAAUUGGAGAAGGAAUUGAUUCCAGUAGUUCUUGGUCUUUCUUCAAGUCGUGUCCUCUGUUCUUAGCUUUGAAAUCCUCCAUUCUUGUUCGUUAUUUCCUUGCUUAUCUUUUAUUGGUUGAUUCUCGAAGAUGGAGAAGUAGAAUCUUGCAUGCAAAGCUUUUGGGCAG
rnacentral:lncRNA from 1 species